CCCUUAGAUGUUCUGGGCCGCACGCGCGCUACACUGAUGCAUUCAACGAGUCUAAAACCUGCUCUGAUAGGGGUGGGUAAUCUUUUGAAUGUGCAUCGUGAUUGGGAUAGACGAUUGCAAUUUUUCAUCUUCAACGAGGAAUGCCUAGUAAACGCAAGUCAUCAGCUUGCAUUGAUUACGUCCCUGCCCUUUGUACACACCGCCCGUCGCUCCUACCGAUUGAAUGAUCCGAUGAAUAUCAUGGAUUGAGGAUGCAAGUAGGUUCGCCUAUCUUCAUCUUCGAGAAGUGAAGUAAAUCUUAUCAUUUAGAGGAAGGAGAAGUCGUAACA
rnacentral:rRNA from 1 species